rnacentral:rRNA from 1 species
UGGGGAAUAUUGGACAAUGGGCGAAAGCCUGAUCCAGCAAUACCGAGUGAGUGAUGAAGGCCCUAGGGUUGUAAAGCUCUUUUAGCAAGGAAGAUAAUGACGUUACUUGCAGAAAAAGCCCCGGCUAACUCCGUGCCAGCAGCCGCGGUAAGACGGAGGGGGCUAGCGUUGUUCGGAAUUACUGGGCGUAAAGAGUGCGUAGGCGAUUUAGUAAGUUGGAAGUGAAAGCCCGGGGCUUAACCUCGGAAUUGCUUUCAAAACUACUAAUCUAGAGUGUAGUAGGGGAUGAUGGAAUUCCUAGUGUAGAGGUGAAAUUCUUAGAUAUUAGGAGGAACACCGGUGGCGAAGGCGGUCAUCUGGGCUACAACUGACGCUGAUGCACGAAAGCGUGGGGAGCAAACA